rnacentral:rRNA from 1 species
CCUACGGGUGGCAGCAGUGGGGAAUAUUGGACAAUGGGCGAAAGCCUGAUCCAGCCAUGCCGCGUGUGUGAAGAAGGCCUUCGGGUUGUAAAGCACUUUCAGUGGGGAAGAAAGCCUUGGGGCUAAUACCCUCGAGGAAGGACAUCACCCACAGAAUAAGCACCGGCUAACUCCGUGCCAGCAGCCGCGGUAAUACGGAGGGUGCGAGCGUUAAUCGGAAUUACUGGGCGUAAAGCGCGCGUAGGCGGUUUGAUAAGCCGGUUGUGAAAGCCCCGGGCUCAACCUGGGAACGGCAUCCGGAACUGUCAGGCUAGAGUGCAGGAGAGGAAGGUAGAAUUCCCGGUGUAGCGGUGAAAUGCGUAGAGAUCGGGAGGAAUACCAGUGGCGAAGGCGGCCUUCUGGACUGACACUGACGCUGAGGUGCGAAAGCGUGGGUAGCAAACAGGAUUAGAUACCCCGGUAGUC